UGGGCAUGGGGCUGCUGGUUUAAGUGCCUAGGAACCUUAGGGGAGGUCCCUUUAAAUAGGUAUAAGGUUUGAAUCCUAUUCAAAAUCAAAUAAGCACUUAAUACAAGUCCUACUUGCAUUAGGUUUUCUAAUAACUUAAGUUAUUCAACUUCUUUUAGAAAACCUAUUGGGUGCUAACAAUUGGAGCCCUUGCACCCACAAAAUCAUAUCCCCUUUUGCACCCAAGGGA
rnacentral:lncRNA from 1 species